rnacentral:rRNA from 1 species
UCAGACGAUGCGUCAUGCAUAUCAAUAAGCGGAGGAAAAGAAACUAACAAGGAUUCCCUUAGUAACGGCGAGUGAAGCGGGAAGAGCUCAAAUUUGAAAUCUUCAAGGUUUUACCUUGACGAAUUGUAGUUUAAAGAAGUGUUUUCUGUUGAAGUUUUGGUAAAAGUUCUUUGGAAUAGGACAUCAUAGAGGGUGAGAAUCCCGUAUUUGACCAUUAUUUUCAGCUUUGUGAUACACUUUCAAAGAGUCGGAUUGUUUGGGAAUGCAGUCCAAAAUGGGUGGUAAAUUUCAUCUAAAGCUAAAUAUUGGCGAGAGACCGAUAGCGAACAAGUACCGUGAGGGAAAGAUGAAAAGAACUUUGAAAAGAGAGUUAAACAGUACGUGAAAUUGUCAAAAGGGAAGCGUUUGACACCAGUGUUGUUUUCCCGAAAAUCAAUUAAAAAGAGUUAGAUUUUGUUGUGUAUUGACCUUAACAGCUUGCAUUUCAAUUUUCUUGCUUUUUUAAUGCACUUUUCGUUUAGCAAGUCAACAUCAGUUUCUUUUGUUGUAAAAAGGUCAUUGGAAGGUGGCCUUCUUUUCGGAGAAAGUGUUUAUAGCCUUUGACUCCUGCAAUCGGAGAGACUGAGGUCUGCAGCGUAGACUCUUCGGGGUUAGAUACAUUUGUGCUAAGUUAUAGCUUUUUAUAGACAACUUGUUGACUAUAAUUAGUCUUGUAGCUUACUCGCUUAUGCUAUUUUACCUACGCUUAGGAUGUUGAGUCGUAGAGCACGCAG